rnacentral:lncRNA from 1 species
UUUGUUUUUCUCUUUCUUCUUUUCCAAGUUGAGCACUUGAUCACCUUGUGGUCAUCACCAUCAUCACCAUGAUCAUCACUUGCUCCAUCACUUGGCAUGUACCAAUCUCAUUAAGCCUACACACACUUAGUAUACAGGUUAGUACUAGGGUUUCAUCAAUUAUCCAAAACCAAACUAGGGCUUUCAGUUGUUGUUUCUCAUGAAGCUCCAACCCACCUUUGUUUGCAC